UACAGAGGUCUCAACCGUUGUUCGGAUUCAUUGGGCGUAAAGGGUGCGUAGGCGGUCGUGCAAGUCGGAUGUGAAAUCUCAGGGCUCAACCCUGAAACUGCAUUCGAUACUGCGUGGCUCGAGUACUGGAGAGGAGACUGGAAUUUACGGUGUAGCAGUGAAAUGCGUAGAUAUCGUAAGGAAGACCAGUGGCGAAGGCGAGUCUCUGGACAGUUACUGACGCUGAGGCACGAAGGCCAGGGGAGCAAACGGG
rnacentral:rRNA from 1 species